UACGUAGGGUGCGAGCGUUGUCCGGAAUUAUUGGGCGUAAAGGGCUCGUAGGCGGUUUGUCGCGUCUGCCGUGAAAGUCCGGGGCUCAACUCCGGAUCUGCGGUGGGUACGGGCAGACUAGAGUGCAGAAGGGGCAAUCGGAAUUCUUGGUGUAGCGGUGAAAUGCGUAGAUAUCAAGAGGAACACCUGAGGUGAAGACGGGUUGCUGGGCUGACACUGACGCUGAGGCGCGAAAGCCAGGGGAGCAAACGGG
rnacentral:rRNA from 1 species